rnacentral:rRNA from 1 species
GGCUCAGAUUGAACGCUGGCGGGAUGCUUUACACAUGCAAGUCGAACGGCAGCACGGACUUCGGUCUGGUGGCGAGUGGCGAACGGGUGAGUAAUGUAUCGGAACGUGCCUAGUAGCGGGGGAUAACUACGCGAAAGCGUAGCUAAUACCGCAUACGCCCUUCGGGGGAAAGCGAGGCCUUCGGGCCUCGCACUAUUAGAGCAGCCGAUAUCGGAUUAGCUAGUUGGUGGGGUAACGGCUCACCAGGCGACGAUCCGUAGCUGGUUUGAGAGGACGACCAGCCACUGGGACUGAGACACGGCCCAGACUCCUACGGGAGGCAGCAGUGGGGGAAUUUUGGACAAUGGGAAAACCCUGAUCCAGCCAUCCCGCGUGUGCGAUGAAGGCCUUCGGGUUGUAAAGCACUUUUGGCAGGAAAGAAACGGCACGGGAUAAUACCCCGUGCAACUGACAGUACCUGCAGAAUAAGCACCGGCUAACUACGUGCCGUUGGCGCGGUAUGCGUAGGGUGCAAGCGUUAAUCGGAAUUGCUGGGCGUAAAGCGUGCGCGGGCGGUUCGGAAAGAAGAUGUGAAAUCCCAGAGCUUAACUUUGGAACUGCAUUUUUUAACUACCGAGCUAGAGUGUGUCAGAGGGAGGUGGAAUUCCGCGUGUAGCAGUGAAAUGCGUAGAUAUGCGGAGAGGAACACCGAUGGCGAGGCAGCCUCUGGGAUGCUGCUGACGCUCAUGCACGAAAGCGUGGGAGCAAACAGGAUUAGAUACCUGAUGAGUCCACGCCUAAACGAUGUCAACUAGCUGUUGGGGCCUUCGGGCCUUGGUAGCGCAGCUAACGCGUGAAGUUGACCUUGCAAGUACGGUCGCAAGAUUAAAAACUCAAAGGAAUUGACGGGGACCCGCACAAGCGGUGGAUGAUGUGGAUUAAUUCGAUUUAACGCGAAAAACCUUACCUACCCUUGACAUGUCUGGAAUCCCGAAGAGAUUUGGGGAGUGCUCGCAGAGAACCGGAACACAGGUGCUGCAUGGCUGUCGUCAGCUCGUGUCGUGAGAUGUUGGGUUAAGUCCCGCAACGAAGCGCAACCCUUAUCAUUAGUUGCUACGAAAGGAGCACUCUAAUGAGACUGCCGGUGACAAACCGGAGAGGUGGGGAUGACGUCAAGUCCUCAUGGCCCUUAUGGGUAGGGCUUCACACGUCAUACAAUGGUCGGGACAGAGGGGUCGCCAACCCGCGAGGAGCCAAUCCCAGAAACCCGAUCGUAGUCCGGAUCGCAGUCUGCAACUCGACUGCGUGAAGUCGGAAUCGCUAGUAAUCGCGGAUCAGCAUGUCGCGGUGAAUACGUUCCCGGGUCUUGUACACCGCCCGUCACACCAUGGGAGUGGGUUUUACCAGAAGUGAUUAGCCUAACCGUAAGGAGGGCGAUUACCACGGUAGGAUUCAUGACUGGGGUGAAGUCGUAACAAGGUAA